CACGGGGAAGUACUGUCCUGGAUUUAUCUCCGACUAUUGGUGCUUUUUGGGCCGUUCGUGUUGUCAGGAAAAGAUAAAAAAAAACCAGUGAUCUUAAUUAAGAAUCAGUGUUAACCCAAACGGACACGGACUCAGGUGUCAAGGGGGAGUGGAAAUUAUUGCUGUAUUUCGUGUAAUUGCAAGGGCUUUGCAAUAACCAACAGUGUGGGAAAGAAACACUAGAAUCACAGGUCAGUGUUGGCAGGAUUGCAGAACUGCCAACACUAUCCACGAGAGGCGUUUUUUCCUCGCAGGUUCACAGUUGCGAGACCACCCAAUGCCAGGGAUUUCAGGGCCAAGGAGCGACGGUGAUCAGCCCUGGGGAGGUUAGUGCUGGACCUGUUGGAAAUGUUGGCAAUUUUUUUUUUUUUUUU